rnacentral:rRNA from 1 species
GCCGCGUGAGUGAGGAAGGUUUUCGGACCGUAAAGCUCUGUCGAGCGGGAAGAAAUGUAUCAUGGCUAAUAUCCAUGGUACUUGACGGUACCGCUAAAGGAAGCACCGGCUAACUCCGUGCCAGCAGCCGCGGUAAUACGGGGGGUGCAAGCGUUGUUCGGAAUUAUUGGGCGUAAAGAGCGUGUAGGCGGCUGGACAAGUCAGAUGUGAAAGCCCUGGGCUUAACCCAGGAAGUGCAUUUGAAACUGUUCGGCUGGAGUAAGGGAGAGGAAAGUGGAAUUCCUGGUGUAGAGGUGAAAUUCGUAGAUAUCAGGAGGAACACCGGUGGCGAAGGCGACUUUCUGGCCCUAUACUGACGCUGAGACGCGAGAGCGUGGGUAGCAAACAGGAUUAGAUACCCUGGUAGUCCACGCUGUAAACGAUGUUCACUAGGUGUUGGGGGUAUUGACCCUCUCAGUGCCGCAGCUAACGCAUUAAGUGAACCGCCUGGGGAGUACGGUCGCAAGAUUAAAACUCAAAGGAAUU